CGAAAUCGGUUAAAAUUUGACAAUAAAUACAUGAAAAGAUAAUCAAUAACCAAUUAGUGUCUAACUGUCAACUAAGUUGUUUUUGUCAAAUCCGGGUGGAGAAGGUAUCGUUGAGUUUACUAGCAUCUUCCAUGUACGGCUGAGUUCCCAACCGUGUCUUCUCUAUUCAUGUUAUUGCCAUGUCGAUAAAUCUCUAUCGCUUCUCUCGUCAAUCUUUGGAAGUAAUGUCCGUUUCUUGCUAGCACUUUCGUUUUGUGAAACUCUAUGCUGUGUCCUCCUUUGUGGCAAUGCUCUGCGAGUGCAGAUUGUUUAUUUUUAUUUUUCUCAGUCAGACAUCCCUCUCGUGUUCCUUGAUGCGGCAUUCGAUGGUAUGUCCAGUUUGGCAAACGUAAUAUUUCCUGCAACUGCACGAUAGCCGAUAGACUCCCGAUACCUUUAAUGGGGUUAGUUUGUCUUUGGCUAUCGGAAAAGCGUUUUGUAUUUUGCUGACCGUACCGUAUCGUACCACGAUAUCAUUCUUCUUCAGACGCCUCGCAAUUCGUUCCAUUACACCUAAAACAUAAGGAAGGCAGAUAAAACCGGUUGGUGUCGUACUUACCGAGCCAUCCUUCUAUUUGCGUGGUUUGGUGGCUCGUCGGAUAUCCUUCAUCGUAUAGUCGUUCUUCUGCAGCACAUCCUCUAGGAAUCUUUCUUCUUUCCUUUGGGUCUCUUUAUCACAUAUCCUCUCUGCUCACUGGAAUAAGGCUUGAAUCACGGACCUCUUCUGUUGUGAGUGGUGGUGGGAUGAAGCCUACAGGUACCUAUUCCUAUGCAUCUACUUUCGAUAUACUCCCAGUUCCAUUGCCCCAUCUGUCUUCCUAGUGACCAACACAACUAGGAAUGGCAACUGUUUUGCAGUUUCUGUUUCCAUGGUAAAUUUUAUCAUGGGGUGCUGUGAAUUGAGGUGGUUUGGAAAUUCCUGGAGUUGCUCUUUUCCAUGUUGCCAGAUCACCAAAGUGUCAUCGACGUAACGGAGCCAUAGCUUCGGUUUCCACGGACGCUUCCUUUCCAAACUUCUCCAAGUAAAAAUUGGCGAUCACAGGUGACAGAGGUGAUCCCAUAGCUGCCCCUUCGCAUUGCUCGUAGAACUCUGCCUUCCAGCUAAAAUAUGUCGACGAUAGGCAGUACACUAGUCCUGGGACACACUUGGGCAAACCCUCCGGGAUGAGUUUCUGGCGAUGACCAUCCACGGCAUCUUUGACUGGUACUCUGGUGAAUAGAGAUUCUACGUCGAAACUUACCAGGAUAUCCUGAGGGUCUAGCUUUAUACUCCUGAUGGAUUCUACAAAAUGUGUGGAAUCUCUGACAUAUGACUCUGUUUUACCUGUAAAAGGAGACAGAAUCUUGGUAAGGUGUUUUGCUAGCUGAUAGAUGGGAGAAUUUAUGACACUGACAAUAGGGUGUAGUGGGACCUCUGGUUUAUGAAUUUUGGGUAAUCUAUAUAUCCUUGGUGGUAUUAGAGCAGUAGUGUCAACUAAUUUUUGACAAAGAUCGACUUUUUAUAUAAAUGUUUUGCCAAGAUCGAUCAAAGGGUUUAAAAUCUUUUUUUGCAUUUUAAAACUCACCUUCCUUUUUUACCUACUGGCUCCUACAAUCAUAUCGCACCUUUAACACUAAAGUGACUCAACUCAAAUAAUAGUGUUUAUAGGAAAACAAGCGGCAAUUGAUAGAGGACACCUUUUUAUGACAUUUUAUGAUUAAAAUUAAAAAUAUUUCAUUUAACUCAUUUAUUAAUAUUUUAAGUUUUAAUACAGAUAUUAAAUUGAGCUUCCAGGUGCAUUGGUACAUGUUUGACUUAUUCGACACUGCUGUGAGUCUACAAUCUUUUUAAAGUUGGGAAUGUAAUUACUUAGGGCAUUUCUCAAACAAGAUUCUAAAUGCGUAUCUGUCAAUGCCGUUCGGUAUUUAGAUUUUAUUAUUUUCAUUUGUGAAAAUGCAGUUCAGGUGAAUUAUUUUGAACCACAACAAAGUUUCGAAAAUGUGUUGAGAAUUUGUACUCAACACAUUUUCGAAACUUUGUAUACUUGUCUUCCGAUAAAUAUUUUCAAAAAUUUUCUUCAGAUGCCCUUGCUUUAACAUACAUAUCGUUUUGCAGUGUUAUUUCUGAUUUUAACUUAUGUACAUCCAUUUCGCACAAGUUGGACAGUUUCUCUGCAACUUUUUCUAUAUUUAUAUUUUUAUUAAACGAAAAAGUGAUUAAAAGUGCCACAUCAUCAAUUUUUUUUUAAUCUUGAAGACGAUUGUCAAACUCUGCAAUUAGGUUUUUAAAUUCAUUUUUAUACCUAUUUAAAUCGAUAUCGGUAGCAGCAAUAUUUUUUAAUUGAGACGUCAUAUUGGGAAAUAAAGUGAAAUUAUUAUUAUUCGUUCUAGAUAACAUUAUGAUUAGUUUUUUUAAGGUAUUUACAGAAUUCAUCAUGUCAAAAAUUGUUUUAUUCUGUCCUUGAAGUUCUAAAUUCAUAUCAUUCAGCUUACUUGUAAUAUCUGUCAGAAAAGACAAAUCUAAAAGCCAAAUAUCAUCUUCCAACAACCUAUAACAAUCCUGUAAUCGUCGCCUCUUGUAAUAAGAAAUUGUUUAAUUUCGUCAAUUAAAUCGCGAAAACGCUGUAAGAACUUGCCUCUAUUUAACCACCUGACCUCAAUAUGCAUCACAAGCUCAGUACAUAGUUCGUGGCCGCUUUCUUCUACGUAUAAUUUAAAAAGCCUUCUUUGUAAACUUUUUGCCCAUAUAGAAUUGCUGAUUUUAAAAGCUAUGGUCAUGAGUUCUUCCCUCUUAAGAACCUCUAUAAAAUCCUUCUUCAAAGACUCCUCUUGUUGUGUAUUUUUAAUUAUGUCUUUAACUUGUAUUCGAUAAAUGAUUUUUUUUCUGGAACCAUUACAGUAGAUUAAAUCAGACUGUUUGAAUAUUAUUUCACGUUUUCUGUGCAUUUUUGUAAAGAUGGAAAUAACGCUUAUUAUUAUAGCUAAUUUUGGUAAAUUCAAAAACCUGGGUGUAGGUACGUAUUUAUGUCCUUUGUUAAGGAAAUCUAAUUCCUGCUGUGUGAACUGAUUGUCUUUGUCUUUGAUUUGAUUGUCUUUUGUCGCUUUGUUUCUCAACCUUGCUAAUUUGUCAUUUUUCUUUUUCCACAAAACCUUCAGUAGUCUUUCUUUAAACGGGUGUGCUUGUAUGAUUACUAUUAACUUUAAAUUUUGUUGUAAAUAAUCAAUUUCUAGGAAGCAAUAUUUUAAUUUGCUUUAUAAUAAUAAUAGUCAUGGUUGCUUAUCCUUUGUCGUUUCCCAGCUGAGAUUUGUUUGUGUUUAUUAAUUAAUUUUAUUUUAUCGACAACUUGUCCGAACGUUGUAUUUUAUUUUAUAUUUUUAUACAUACACAGUUUGGUUAUGAUAUUUUUAGAUAUUCUUGCAUGAAACAUGUUUUUAAAGCAUGAUACCGGUUAUUGAAAUCACAUUAAAAAUUCCGUAAAAUCAGACAAAUAAAUGUUAAAUGGUUUUUCAAUAUAGUGAUUUAGUUUAUUCUAAUGUAAUUUACUUUUUGUUCUGAUGGUAUGAUGAAGAUUAGUUUUUUGUAUCUGUUACCAAGGUUCAUGGUUUUCAUAAAAGUGUAUUACCAAAUUAAUUGAUAAUAUUCUAUAUCUUGUGCGUUUCAUUUUCUGAUGAUGCCUGCAUUGUUCAGGCGAAACAUGUCAAAAUUUUUGAAGAAAACAAUAAAUUUAAACCAGUAAAAGUA
rnacentral:lncRNA from 1 species